rnacentral:lncRNA from 1 species
UGGUUGUCAUUCAUUUAUUCACUAUAUAUUGAAAACCCAUAAGGUGCCAGGAGCUAUGGGUGGCAGGGAAAAGGGUAGUGCCAGUUCUCCUGGAGACUCUGAGGUCGGUGCCAAGGGCAGAGGCAGUGAAGUUGCCAGUGUAGUAGGGGAAGUGUGGGGGUGUCCUGAUGGUGGGGAGCCCAACCCAGAGCCAGGGAACCAUGCAGGCUGCCAGGAGAAGCCAGCUGGAGCUGGCAAAGGAGGAAGGGGGGUGGGUUCUGGGUGGAAGAAACAGCAUGGACCAAGCUUUAGAGGCAGCUGACAGUGACCUGUUAGAACCACUGGCUGGGAAAAUUGCAGCUUCCAUUGGCUCUUGCUGGAAUAAUAACUACAAUCAAUGGGAUACUCCCUGCUUUUAGCCUGUUUUGAGAUUUCCCAGCACCCCUAGAGUAAUUUACCUAUGUGGAUAUGGAGGUUUGUGGGAGUGUCCUCCUCAAGGUCACACACCUGUGACAGAUAGGAUGGGAACUUUGACCUCUACAGGGCCUGCUGAAGCUUGUUCUCUUUUGGGGGUAUUGCACUUGAGCUCUGCAAGAGAAUACUGAAUUUGAAUUGUAUUCCAGUCAAUUGGGAGCUAACAAUUUAGUGACUGUGGUCAUUGUUUGCCUCCUGAGAAUGAAUUAGUUCAAGUGGAAUACUCUCAAGGGGGCCUGGAAGGAUGAACCCCUUUCACAACACAUCUUUAAUAGUGUGCCUUUAUAAAAUGUGUGUAUAGACCCAAAAGGGUUAACUACAUAGUCUUUGCAAGGAAUAUUGGGCACAGAUUAGACUAACACAUUUAAGGAUAUUUGGUGAUCUCAAAGCAGCCAGUGCGGUAAACAGAAAAGGGCCUCUUGUGUGGAGGUGUCCCGAUGGAGCCAGCACCAUUCUGCUCUUGACAGAAGGCUCAGGAAUAGCGAUGUGAACCAGGGGUAGGGUGCCCUCGGGUGACUUUUCAUCGGAGAAGGCCAAGGGGGUGGGGUUGAACUUUAAGACAUCAUCUGAUCUGUUUGAAACCAGGCUGUGUGAAUGAUGCUGAUGUGUGUGGGUCUGACACCAGGUGGUGCCGCCCAGCAGACUUCAGUCCUGGGGUGAGGUGAGGACAGCAGUUCCUGGAAACCACCUUCCAGUUGUCCUUCAAGGCAAGGGCCGGUAACUCAGGCAGCAGAGCCUCCCCAAGCCAAGGCAGAAGUUGAGGGACUCAGAGUGAGACUGGAGGAACAUGGUACCUGCCAAGCAAUGUGCUGGUCUAAGCGAAAUGGCUCUUGGUGUCCUCAGCCUGCACUACUCCAAUGACAGGCACCUUGUUCUGGGAGGCUGAUUUGCAGAGUAAGCCUCACACGCUGGCUGGAGCCUCUGACAGGUGAUGGGUGUCUGCUGAUGCAAUUGUGGGUGGCUCAGUUGUUUCCAUGAGGUAGCACGGUGCCCACUGCCUCUGGGGAUCGAUGGCAAGACCACUAGGAAGACAUCUGGGGCGAAGACUACCUUGGGCAGUCCCUACUUCAAGGGAAGGAUGAGAGGAGGGAACCCUAGCUCUCUGAUAGUAUUUUUACUGUAUGUGUUCCUGGUUGGUUUUUACCUUGACCUGCAAAACCUGAAGCUGCUGUCAUCUCUACUAAGCAAGUACUGCAUACCAAAUUUGAUAGAUGCAAGGCAACAAAGCCAAUGUCUGGGGAGAUUUCAGCUGAUAUAAUCUAUCUUGGUAAAAUUCUUGCUUUGAUUCUAUUUUAUGCUUCUCUCAGGUGAAAAUCCAAGGAUUUGGUUACCAUUUCCCCCAAAGCUCCCAGAAUAAAAUCCCAGUUGGAAAUUACAUACAGUGGCCACUGGGAGGCCCCAGUGAUCUGCCAAAUGAACUUUCCCUUCUGAAUAAACAAGUGAAAAUAAAAGAAAUGAUUUCAACAAGCGAAUUGAAUUAUGAAAGAUUAUAUGCAAAUGCAUCAAAAGCGGUAUGGGGUAAAUACACAACAGUAUAAUGUGAUAAAUGCAUGGUGCCAUCUUCCUUAAUUAGGGAUUGUUCAAAUUCUACCCCUCACCUCAGCUCUAUGCACACAUUAUGAAAUAAAUACUCCAAGGAGAAGAAAAAAAUCAUGGCUGGUUUCUGUUCUUUGAACACCAUGCUGGUGUGUGGCUGUGAGUGAGUGAGUGUGAGUGGGUGUGUGAGUGGGUGGGAGAGGGCAGAGCAGUGGAGUGGGAGAAGAUGGACAGAAGAAGCAAGUGGAGAGAUUGCUGGGUGGGAAGGGAGGUUCUAAAUCCUACAGCUCGGGAGAACAUGUGCGUUCUCAGCCUUGAACGUGGAUCAGAAUCACCUGAAGUUUUGUUCAAAC